rnacentral:rRNA from 1 species
AGCGAACAUUGGCGGUAGGCUUAACACAUGCAAGUCGAGCGAGGCGUAAUAGUCGAGCGGCGAACGGGUGCGUAAUACAUGGGAAUCUACCCUGAAGUGGGGGAUAACGUCCAGAAAUGGACGCUAAUACCGCAUAAUCCACAUUGGGAAAGCGUUGCAGCGCUUUAGGAUGAGCCCAUGGCUGAUUAGCUAGUUGGUGAGGUAAUGGCUCACCAAGGCGACGAUCAGUAGCUGGUCUGAGAGGAUGAUCAGCCACACUGGAACUGAGACACGGUCCAGACUCCUACGGGAGGCAGCAGUGGGGAAUCUUGCGCAAUGGGGGCAACCCUGACGCAGCCAUACCGCGUGAGUGAUGAAGGUCUUCGGAUUGUAAAGCUCUUUCGGCGGGGACGACGAUGACGGUACCCGCAAAAGAAGUCACGGCUAACUUCGUGCCAGCCGCCGCGGUAA